GGGUUAGUAACUCAGUUGGUAAGAGUGUUGGUUUGUCAUACCAAAAGUCGUGGGUUCAAGUCCCAUCUAGCCCG